AGAAAUUGACGGGGGCCUGCACAAGCGGUGGAGCAUGUGGUUUAAUUCGAAGCAACGCGCAGAACCUUACCAGCGUUUGACAUGGUAGGACG
rnacentral:rRNA from 1 species